rnacentral:rRNA from 1 species
GAUGAACGCUAGCUACAGGCUUGACACAUGCAAGUCGAGGGGAAACGACAUUGGAAGCUUGCUUCCGAUGGGCGUAAACCGGCGCACGGGUGAGUAACGCGUAUCCAACCUGCCCAUCACUUGGGGAUAACCUUGCGAAAGUAAGACUAAUACCCAAUGAUAUCUCUAGAAGACAUCUGAAAGGGAUUAAAGAUUUAUCGGUGAUGGAUGGGGAUGCGUCUGAUUAGCUUGUUGGCGGGAUAACGGCCCACCAAGGCGACGAUCAGUAGGGGUUCUGAGAGGAAGGUCCCCCACAGUUGAACUGAGACACGGUCCAAACUCCUACGAGAGGCAGCAGUGAGGAAGAUUGGUCAAUGGGCGAGAGCCUGAACCAGCCAAGUAGCGUGCAAGAUGACGGCCCUAUGGGUUGUAAGCUGCUUGUAUAAGGGAAUAAAGUGAGUCUCGUGAGACUUUUUGCGUGUACCUUAUGAAUAAGGACCGGCUAAUUCCGUGCCAGCCGCCGCGGUAA